rnacentral:rRNA from 1 species
UAAGGUAUUAAAUAAACCGUUGUGUGUUGGCGGUCAAAGUAAGUUAGAGAAACUCGCUUUAUAAUCGUAAACACUCGUUAAAUUUUACUAUAUAAUAUUAAUAGCUUAUAUACCGCCGAUGGAAUAAACAACAAAAAUAAAUCAAAACACUCAAAAGCAGUAAAUCAGGUCAAGGUGUAGCUAACCAUAAAGAAAAAGUAAGUUACAUUAAAAAUAAUUUAAGGAAUAUAAUAUAAAUAAAAUCGGAAAAAGAAUUUAUAUGUACAUUUUAAUUAAAAACUAAAAUAGAAUACAACUACUAUGAUGC